rnacentral:rRNA from 1 species
AAUGCAAGCGUUUUCCGGGAAUCAUUGGGCGUAAAGCGCCUGUAGGUUGUUUAAUAAGUCUGUUGUUAAAGACUAGGGCUUAACCCUAGAAAAGCAAUGGAAACUACUGGACUAGAGUAUGGCAGGGGUAGAGGGAAUUUCUAGUGUAGCGGUGAAAUGCGUAGAUAUUAGAAAGAACACCGGUGGGCGAAAGCGCUCUACUGGACCAUUACUGACACUCAGAGGCGAAAGCUAGGGUAGCAAAAGGGACUAGAUACCCCUGUAGUCCUAGCCGUAAACGAUGGAUACUACAUGUUGUGCAUUACGUACAGUAUGGUAGCUAACGCGUUAAGUAUCCCGCCUGGGGAGUACGCUCGCAAGGGUGAAACUCAAAGGAAUUGACGGGGGCCCGCACAAGCGGUGGAGCAUGUGGUUUAAUUCGAUGCAACGCGAAGAACCUUACCAGGACUUGACAUACUACAAAUUCUUUUGAGAAAGAGAAGUGCCUUCGGGAAUGUAGAUACAGGUGGUGCAUGGCUGUCGUCAGCUCGUGUCGUGAGAUGUUGGGUUAAGUCCCGCAACGAGCGCAACCCUUAUUUUUAGUUACCAAUUCGUUGGGUUCUCUAGAAAGACUGCCGGUGACAAACCGGAGGAAGGUGAGGAUGACGUCAAGUCAGCAUGCCCCUUAUGUCCUGGGCUACACACGUGCUACAAUGGUUAAGACAAAGAGUCGCGAGCUCGUGAGAGUGAGCUAAUCUCAUAAACUUAGCCCAAGUUCAGAUUGUAGGCUGCAACUCGCCUACAUGAAGUUGGAAUCGCUAGUAAUCGCUGGUCAGCCAUACAGCGGUGAAUCCGUUCCCGGGCCUUGUACACACCGCCCGUCACACCAUGGGAGCUGGUCAUACCCAAUACCGUUAGCUUAACCGUUUGGAGAGCGACGUCUAAGGUAGGGCUAGUGACUGGGGUGAAGUCGUAACAAGGUAACCGUA